rnacentral:rRNA from 1 species
UACAGAGGUCCCAAGCGUUGUUCGGAUUCACUGGGCGUAAAGGGUGCGUAGGUGGCCGUGUAAGUUCGAUGUGAAAGCUCGGAGCUUAACUCCGAAAUGGCAUUGAAUACUCUGCGGCUGGAGGGUCGGAGGGGAGACUGGAAUUCUCGGUGUAGCAGUGAAAUGCGUAGAUAUCGAGAGGAACACCAGUGGCGAAGGCGAGUCUCUGGACGACACCUGACACUGAGGCACGAAAGCUAGGGGAGCAAACAGG